GUUACAUGUUGUAAAGUUUGAAUUCAAAGGAAUUGAGGUCAGUUAAAGCUUGCAAACACAAAGGAAAUUAUUGAUAUUGUAGCAAUUCUGGAGAUAUUUUGUUUAAAAUGUAAGGGUGCAUAUUUUUGAUUUCUCAAAGAAAACAUUUAAAGUCUUAUUAGUGUGGUAAAUAUAAAUGAGAAGUUUUAACUGAAGUGUGAAUGUGUAGACAAGAAGAUAAACAGCAGAAUCAUUCCCAGUCAAAGUUUCAGACACAAAGCAAUGAGGAGCAGCCUGGAGCAACACAUUUGAUCUUCAGUGGCUUUACAAAGGACCAAGUGAUGGCAGAACUGAAGCCAUAUGCCUCAAAGAGAAAGGAACAGCAAAGCUCUUCAGAAUGCUAUUCAAUAUAGAAGAGAUUAAAGGCCGCUCAUUGUUUGGUAUGAGGAAAGGGAACAGAGAGUCUAAAGCCAGACCUUCUUGUGCAGACAAGGCAAAACUUAA